rnacentral:rRNA from 1 species
UACGGAGGGUGCAAGCGUUAUCCGGAUUCACUGGGUUUAAAGGGUGUGUAGGCGGGUAGUUAAGUCAGUGGUGAAAUCUCCGGGCUCAACCCGGAAACUGCCAUUGAUACUAUCUAUCUUGAAUUUUGUUGAGGUAGGCGGAAUAUGUCAUGUAGCGGUGAAAUGCAUAGAUAUGACAUAGAACACCAAUUGCGAAGGCAGCUUACUAAGCAAAUAUUGACGCUGAGGCACGAAAGCGUGGGGAGCGAACAGGG